rnacentral:rRNA from 1 species
UACGUAGGGUGCGAGCGUUAAUCGGAAUUACUGGGCGUAAAGUGUGCGCAGGGCGGCGAGCAAGUCGAGUGUGAAAGCCCCGAGCUUAACUUGGGAACUGCGCUCGAAACUACUUGGCUAGAGUGUGGCAGAGGGAGUGGAAUUCCACGUGUAGCGGUGAAAUGCGUAGAGAUGUGGAGGAACACCGAUGGCGAAGGCAGCCUCCUGGGCCAACACUGACGCUCAUGCACGAAAGCGUGGGGAGCAAACAGG